UACGAAGGGGGCUAGCGUUGCUCGGAAUUACUGGGCGUAAAGGGCGCGUAGGCGGAUAGUUUAGUCAGAGGUGAAAGCCCAGGGCUCGACCUUGGAAUUGCCUUUGAUACUGGCUAUCUUGAGUUCGGGAGAGGUGAGUGGAAUGCCGAGUGUAGAGGUGAAAUUCGUAGAUAUUCGGCGGAACACCAGUGGCGAAGGCGACUCACUGGCCCGAUACUGACGCUGAGGCGCGAAAGCGUGGGGAGCAAACAGG
rnacentral:rRNA from 1 species